rnacentral:rRNA from 1 species
AUGUAUAUAUAUAUUUCUAUGUAAAAACACCAUCUCAUGUGGUCUGGGAAGCUAAGCAGGGUCAGCCCUGGUCAGUACUUGGAUGGGAGACCUUGAAGAUCAAUGGGACCUG